UACGUAGGGUGCGAGCGUUGUUCGGAAUUACUGGGCGUAAAGAGUGUGUAGGCGGUGCUCCAAGUCUGUUGUGAAAUCUCCCGGCUUAACUGGGAGGGUGCGGCGGAAACUAGAGUGCUAGAGGGUGGGAGAGGUAAGCGGAAUUCCUGGUGUAGCGGUGAAAUGCGUAGAUAUCAGGAGGAACACCUGUGGUGUAGACAGCUUACUGGACCACUUCUGACGCUGAGACACGAAAGCGUGGGUAGCAAACAGG
rnacentral:rRNA from 1 species